GAUGAACGCUGGCGGCGUGCCUAAUACAUGCAAGUCGAACGGAAGAGAUAAGCUUGCUUAUCGAAUCAGUGGCGAACGGGUGAGUAAGACAUAAAUAAUCUACCCCUAAGCCUGGGAUAACUAGAGGAAACUUUAGCUAAUACCGGAUAGUUAAGAAUAAGGCAUCUUAAUUUUAUUAAAGAUGGGAAACAUCACUAAGGGAUGAGUUUAUGGCGCAUUAGCUAGUUGGUGAGAUAAAAGCCCACCAAGGCGAUGAUGCGUAGCCGAUCUGAGAGGAUGACCGGCCACAUUGGGACUGAGACACGGCCCAGACUCCUACGGGAGGCAGCAGUAGGGAAUUUUCGGCAAUGGGGGGAACCCUGACCGAGCAACGCCGCGUGAACGAGGAAGGUCUUUGGAUCGCAGAGUUCUGUUGUAAGGGAAUAAACGAUCAUAUAGGGAAUGAUAUGAUUUUGACGGUACCUUACCAGAAAGCCACGGCUAACUACGUGCCAGCAGCCGCGGUAAUACGUAGGUGGCGAGCGUUAUCCGGAAUUAUUGGGCGUAAAGGGUGCGUAGGCGGCUUAAUAAGUUUGUGGUGAAAUCGUGGGGCUCAACUCCAUCAAGCCACAAAAACUGUCAAGCUAGAGAACAGUAGAGGCAAGUGGAAUUCCAUGUGUAGCGGUAAAAUGCGUAGAUAUAUGGAGGAACACCAGUGGCGAAGGCGGCUUGCUGGACUGUGACUGACGCUGAGGCACGAAAGCGUGGGGAGCAAAUAGGAUUAGAUACCCUAGUAGUCCACGCCGUAAACGAUGAAUACUAAGUGUUGGAGAAAUUCAGUGCUGCAGUUAACGCAAUAAGUAUUCCGCCUGGGGAGUACGCACGCAAGUGUGAAACUCAAAGGAAUUGACGGGGACCCGCACAAGCGGUGGAUUAUGUGGUUUAAUUCGAUGCAACGCGAAGAACCUUACCAAGCCUUGACAUCUUCGGCGAAGCUCUAGAGAUAGAGUGGAGGUUAUCCGAAAGACAGGUGGUGCAUGGUUGUCGUCAGCUCGUGUCGUGAGAUGUUGGGUUAAGUCCCGCAACGAGCGCAACCCUUGUCUUUAGUUACCAUCAUUAAGUUGGGGACUCUAGAGAGACUGCCGGUGACAAACCGGAGGAAGGUGGGGAUGACGUCAAAUCAGCAUGCCCCUUAUGGCUUGGGCUACACACGUAAUACAAUGGCGUAUACAAAGGGAAGCAAACCUGCGAAGGAGAGCGAAUCUCAGAAAGUACGUCUCAGUUCGGAUUAGAGUCUGCAACUCGACUCUAUGAAGUCGGAAUCGCUAGUAAUCGUGGAUCAGCAUGCCACGGUGAAUACGUUCCCGGGUCUUGUACACACCGCCCGUCAAACCAUGAGAGUUGGCAAUGCCCGAAGCCGGUGGCCUAACCGCAAGGAGGGAGCCGUCGAAGGCAGGGCUGAUGAUUGGGGUU
rnacentral:rRNA from 1 species